rnacentral:hammerhead_ribozyme from 1 species
AUCCAGAUGAUGAGUCCCAAAUAGGACUAAACGCGCAUCAUGGAU